rnacentral:lncRNA from 1 species
GUUUCCAUGAGCAGAGGAAGUUCCAGCAGAGUCGUAGAGCAGCGGUCCUCAUCCAGCAAUACUACCGCUCUUACAGACACUCCCUCAGGUACUUCACAAACACAAAAAAAUACACACUCACGGGGCUUAGUUAUGCUAUAAAUACUUACACCCAUGUCUUUGCCUACAGCAGCCUCCUAACUAAAAAACAGAACCAGGCUGCUCGCAAGAUCCUGAGGUUCCUGCUCCGAUGCCGCCACAGGGCCAGAGAGCAGAGAACGGCCAGGGGUCCUGAGAACCCAUCACCAGGCCCCACACACAGCCCCCUCAGCCUGUGAGCAAUCUAUACACCCUCCCAGCCCGUCUCUUUUUUCCUUCUCCUCUCUUCCAUCCUCCCCAAACUCUUAUCUUUCUACCCCUAACCCCCUUUCUCCUGCACUUUUCUUUCCUCCCCUCCUCCUUCUCUUUCCCCUCUUGUCCCCAGAGGAAAAAAAAAACUCUUCCCAGACAGACUGAGGACAGGAUAGGUGUCCAUCAUGGCAGCUCAGACAGACAGACUGCUGGGUAGAGCCCAGGGACCUGGCUCUGCCCACAGCACUGAUCCUCCUCCACAGUUUCACUGG